GCUUUCCAGAGUUUGACUCUGAGCCAUAUGUUUUUGGUCCUACCAUUACAAAGAGACUUCUUUGUGGGCGUUUUGAGCUUGACAAAAGACUUCUGGAUUAUGUUAAUGGAAAAUAGGUCAAACACGAAAGGUAUUCACGAUCUCCUAUUUGUUCGUCCAACCCCAAUCGAAGGAGAUGUUAUUCGUUCUCACACGGUUUCUGAAGAUACUAAUCACUCUUGUUCUUCCCACGAACUUCCUGCCAAAACUACAGGUAAACAUGUUAAAAGGUGCUAGAUCAGACAUGAAAUUUGUGAGGAAAUUGUUUUUUUUUUCAUUUCCUUUUCUUACAUUAGGAGAACACGCAGUUUGUUCAUAACUUUGUAUUGAGUCACCACGAUAUGUUGGAGUUCCACUUAUAAAAAAGGUCGAAUUCUAAGAUACUGUAAUGAAAUUUCACUUUUUAAAGUUUAAAGUUCAAUACAUUAUGCU
rnacentral:misc_RNA from 1 species